AAAAAACUGUGAAGAGGGGAGAAGGUGACAGUGACGGGGUGUAGAAGAUGAGGCGUAGAAGAAAUUUUCAACCAUAUGAGAAUGGAUGACAUCACUUCUGGGGCCCAGGGAGAGCUGAUGAAACCCAGCAUAGUGUGUAGGAGGUGCCAUGGACUGGGAUUUUGUGGAAUCUGGCAUCGGGGGAGCAUUCAGUGUUGGCAAGGCAACCACCAGGGAAUAAAGGAUGGUGAUGUCAUUACAGUGCGCUGCUGUUCCU